rnacentral:rRNA from 1 species
GAUGAACGCUAGCUACAGGCUUAACACAUGCAAGUCGCGGGGCAGCAUGGGGGUUGCUUGCAAUCCCCGAUGGCGACCGGCGCACGGGUGAGUAACGCGUAUCCAACCUGCCCUUCACCACGGGAUAACCCGGCGAAAGUCGGACUAAUACCGUAUGUUGUCCAUUGACGGCCUCCGAUUUGGACGAACGGUUUGGCGGUGAAGGAUGGGGAUGCGUCCGAUUAGCUGGACGGCGGGGUGACGGCCCACCGUGGCGACGAUCGGUAGGGGUUCUGAGAGGAAGGUCCCCCACACUGGAACUUAGACACGGUCCAGACUCCUACGGGAGGCAGCAGUGAGGAAUAUUGAUCAAUGGGCGUAAGCCUGAACCAGCCAAGUAGCGUGCAGGAUGACGGCCCUAUGGGUUGUAAACUGCUUUUAUGCGGGGAUAAAGUGGCCCACGUGUGGGUUUUUGCAGGUACCGCAUGAAUAAGGACCGGCUAAUUCCGUG